AUUGAACGCUGGCGGCAGGCCUAACACAUGCAAGUCGAGCGAGCGGCGGACGGGAGAGUAAUGUAUGGGGACUGCCCGCUAGAGGGGGAUAACUACUGGAAACGGUGGCUAAUACCGCAUAUUAUCGGAUAACCCCUAUGGGAGUAGCUAGUAGGUGGGGUAAAGGCGCACCUAGGCGACGAUCUCUAGUUGGUCUGAGAGGAUGAUGGGCCACACGGGGACUGAGACACGGCCCAGAGUCCUAAGGCGUCAGCAGUGGGGAAGAUGGCACAAUGGGAGCAAGCCUGAUGCAGCCAUGCCGCGUGUAUGAAGAAGGCAUUAGGGUUGUAGAGUACUUUCAGCGGUGAGGCGUUACCCGCAGAAGAAGCACCGGCUAACUCCGUGCCAGCAGCCGCGGUAAUUC
rnacentral:rRNA from 1 species